rnacentral:rRNA from 1 species
UACGUAGGGACCAAGCGUUGUCCGGAAUCAUUGGGCGUAAAGAGCGUGUAGGCGGCCCGGUAAGUCCGCUGUGAAAGUCGGGGGCUCAACCCUCGAAUGCCGGUGGAUACUGUCGGGCUAGAGUGCGGAAGAGGCGAGUGGAAUUCCUGGUGUAGCGGUGAAAUGCGCAGAUAUCAGGAGGAACACCGAUUGCGAAGGCAGCUCGCUGGGACGUUACUGACGCUGAGACGCGAAAGCGUGGGGAGCAAACAGG